UACGGAGGGAGCUAGCGUUGUUCGGAAUUACUGGGCGUAAAGCGCACGUAGGCGGCUAUUCAAGUCGGGGGUGAAAGCCCGGGGCUCAACCCCGGAACUGCCCUCGAAACUAGAUAGCUAGAAUCUUGGAGAGGCGAGUGGAAUUCCGAGUGUAGAGGUGAAAUUCGUAGAUAUUCGCAAGAACACCAGUGGCGAAGGCGGCUCACUGGCCCGAUACUGACGCUGAGGUGCGAAAGCGUGGGGAGCAAACAGG
rnacentral:rRNA from 1 species